GUUCUACUCCCUCCGUCCAACAAAAGAUGUCUCAAGUUUGUCAAAAAUUGGAUGUAUCUAGACAUGACUUAGUGUAGCAUUCAAAUUUAGUCAAAUUUGAGACAUCCUUUGUUGGAUGGAGGAAUAUAUG
rfam:Brachypodium distachyon strain Bd21 chromosome 3, whole genome shotgun sequence.